rnacentral:rRNA from 1 species
GCGGCGGACGGGUGAGUAACACGUGGGUAACCUGCCUGUAAGACUGGGAUAACUCCGGGAAACCGGAGCUAAUACCGGAUAGUUCCUUGAACCGCAUGGUUCAAGGAUGAAAGACGGUUUCGGCUGUCACUUACAGAUGGACCCGCGGCGCAUUAGCUAGUUGGUGAGGUAACGGCUCACCAAGGCGACGAUGCGUAGCCGACCUGAGAGGGUGAUCGGCCACACUGGGACUGAGACACGGCCCAGACUCCUACGGGAGGCAGCAGUAGGGAAUCUUCCGCAAUGGACGAAAGUCUGACGGAGCAACGCCGCGUGAGUGAUGAAGGUUUUCGGAUCGUAAAGCUCUGUUGUUAGGGAAGAACAAGUGCAAGAGUAACUGCUUGCACCUUGACGGUACCUAACCAGAAAGCCACGGCUAACUACGUGCCAGCAGCCGCGGUAAUACGUAGGUGGCAAGCGUUGUCCGGAAUUAUUGGGCGUAAAGGGCUCGCAGGCGGUUUCUUAAGUCUGAUGUGAAAGCCCCCGGCUCAACCGGGGAGGGUCAUUGGAAACUGGGAAACUUGAGUGCAGAAGAGGAGAGUGGAAUUCCACGUGUAGCGGUGAAAUGCGUAGAGAUGUGGAGGAACACCAGUGGCGAAGGCGACUCUCUGGUCUGUAACUGACGCUGAGGA